rnacentral:rRNA from 1 species
UACGUAGGGGGCAAGCGUUGUCCGGAUUUAUUGGGUUUAAAGGGUGCGUAGGCGGCCUUGUAAGUCAGUGGUGAAAUACUCCAGCUUAACUGGAGGGGUGCCAAUGAUACUGCAGGGCUUGAGUACAGAUGAGGUAGGCGGAAUUGACGGUGUAGCGGUGAAAUGCAUAGAUAUCGUCAAGAACACCGAUAGCGAAGGCAGCUUACUGGGCUGUAACUGACGCUGAGGCACGAAAGUGUGGGGAUCAAACAGG